rnacentral:rRNA from 1 species
UACGGAGGAGGCAAGCGUUAUCCGGAAUUAUUGGGCGUAAAGCGUCCGCAGGUGGCACCUCAAGUCUGCUGUCAAAGACCGGGGCUUAACCCCAGAAAGGCAGUGGAAACUGAAGUGCUAGAGUGCAGUAGGGGUAGAGGGAAUUCCCGGUGUAGCGGUGAAAUGCGUAGAGAUCGGGAAGAACAUCGGUGGCGAAAGCGCUCUGCUGGACUGCAAUUGACACUCAGGGACGAAAGCUAGGGGAGCGAAUGGG